rnacentral:rRNA from 1 species
UCUGGUUGAUCCUGCCGGAGGACAUUGCUAUUGGGAUUCGAUUUAGCCAUGCUAGUCGAGCGAGUUCAGACUCGCGGCGCAUAGCUCAGUAACACGUGGCCAAGCUCCCCUUCAGUCAGCGAUACCCUCGGGAAACUGAGGCUAACAGCUGAUACAACACGCCAGCUGGAAUGCGGCGUUUUCGAAAGACAUCGCUGAAGGAUGCGGCUGCGGCCGAUUAGGUAGACGGUGGGGUAACGGCCCACCGUGCCAGUAAUCGGUACGGGUGAUGAGAGUCAGAGCCCGGAGACGGAAUCUGAGACAAGAUUCCGGGCCCUACGGGGCGCAGCAGGCGCGAAACCUUUACACUGCACGGAAGUGCGAUAGGGGAAUCCCAAGUGCGAGGGCAUAUUAGCCCUCGCUUUUCUCGACUCUAAGGUGGUCGACGAAUAAGAGCUGGGCAAGACCGGUGCCAGCCGCCGCGGUAAUACCGGCAGCUCAAGUGAUGUCCCAUAUUAUUGGGCCUAAAGCGUCCGUAGCUGGCCGACCAAGUCUAUCGGGAAAUCCACCCGCCCAACGGGUGGGCGUCCGGUAGAAACUGGCCGGCUUGGAACCGGAAGGCUCAGGGAGUACGUCCGGGGUAGGAGUGAAAUCCCGUAAUCCCGGACGGACUACCGAUGGCGAAAGCACUCUGAGAAGACGGAUUCGACAGUGAGGGACGAAAGCUCGGGUCUCAAACCGGAUUAGAUACCCGGGCAGUCCGAGCCGUAAACGAUGCUCGUUAGGUGUGGCACCCACUACGAGUGGGUGCUGCGCCGUAGGGAAGCCGCUAAACGAGCCGCCUGGGAAGUACGUCCGCAAGGAUGAAACUUAAAGGAA